rnacentral:rRNA from 1 species
UCUGAGACAGGUGCUGCAUGGCUGUCGUCAGCUCGUGUUGUGAAAUGUUGGGUUAAGUCCCGCAACGAGCGCAACCCUUAUCCUUUGUUGCCAGCGGUCGGCCGGGAACUCAAAGGAGACUGCCAGUGAUAAACUGGAGGAAGGUGGGGAUGACGUCAAGUCAUCAUGGCCCUUACGAGUAGGGCUACACACGUGCUACAAUGGCGCAUACAAAGAGAAGCGACCUCGCGAGAGCAAGCGGACCUCAUAAAGUGCGUCGUAGUCCGGAUUGGAGUCUGCAACUCGACUCCAUGAAGUCGGAAUCGCUAGUAAUCGUAGAUCAGAAUG